AGAAACCCUCUCAGGCUGAGACACUACAGAAACAUGCUUUCCUUGGCCCAUGAGCAGUACACUGUGGGCCCUGGUGAGAUAAACAGAAGCUGUGUGUAGUCAUCAAUCACAAAAGAAUGGCGUAUGCAGGGGUGCAUGUCGUGUAGGUGUUAUGGUGCUGUUCAGAAGAUCUACCCCUGAACCAGCAUCAGGUGUAACUGGGACAAAACAGUGUGAUGUAAAGAGCCGGCAGGAUGAAACAAUACAUGUACUUUCUUUAUGCUAUAGCACUGUAUAAAAACCCU